rnacentral:rRNA from 1 species
CCCUUAGAUGUUCUGGGCCGCACGCGCGCUACACUGACGAUGGCAACGAGUUUUUCCUUCGCCGAAAGGUGUGGGUAAUCUUUUGAAACAUCGUCGUGCUGGGGAUAGAUCAUUGCAAUUUUUGAUCUUGAACGAGGAAUUCCUAGUAAGCGCGAGUCAUCAGCUCGCGUUGAUUACGCCCCUGCCCUUUGUACACAUCGCCCGUCGCUACUACCGAUUGAAUGGUUUAGUGAGGACUCCUGAUUGGCGCCGCCGCCCCGGCAACGGAGCAGCGGACUGCCGAAAAGUUGUUCAAACUUGAUCAUUUAGAGGAAGUAAAAGUCGUAACA